rnacentral:misc_RNA from 1 species
CAGAGUUCAUGCCCUAACGGGUAGAUCUCCCACCCUUGAAUAUUAUACUUUUGUUGCUUUGGCGAGCCGCCUAGGCUACCGGCUUCGGCUGGUAAGUGCUCGCCAGAGGACCCCAAAACUCUGAAUUAUAGUGUUGUCUGAGUUCUAUAUAAUAGUUA